AAGAAGAAGGAAGGAGGAGGAAGGAGGAAAGGAACAAAAGCUCACAUAUAUGCACAGGUCACUGGUAUGUGGGUCUUAUAAAUCAUAAAUAUAGUACACAUUCAGGAGCGUCGAGGAGACCGGGGGGAAAAUAAUUUUUCUUUCUUUUGUUUUUUUUGCCUCCUUUUCUUUCCUUCUUUCUU
rnacentral:miRNA from 1 species